CCUGGUCCUGCGGCUCUCUGAGCCCGUCCCGGCUCCCCCUGCGGCUCGCCUGACACCUCCCGGCCCCGGCGCUCGUUGCAGGGCUCCCCCGGCCCGGGCCUGCUGCUCCCGGUUACCUGAACCUCCCCUCCCCCCGCGGCCUGUUGCUGAAACACAGCUCUGAUUGGCUAAUACUGAGGUGCUGACUAUACAUCUUGGAAAACUAGAAAGGCGCUCGCCCUGCGAAGGAAGAACAAACGGAUGACGCUCAACUGCUCAGCAGUGCCAUGGGUUCUCGAAGAGGUGCACAGGGGCAUGGGGGAAGUGCUCAGUUUACGGCUAUCCAUGGUACAGUGGCCCCGUUACAGUAGUUAACACACACACACGACAGUUUCUUGAGGGUAUUAUUUAAAGCAAUAUUUCCAGACAGGGAAAAAUAUGCUUUCCCUAAUGUGGAGAUGGAACCAAAGCCCGCUGAGAUCAAUGGAAAACUCCCAGGCCUUGAUUCAGCAAAGCACUUAUGCACAUGCUCACAUCCCAUUGAAGCCAAUGGAAUUUAAGCAUGUGUUUAAAUGUAGGCAUGUGCUUGAGUGCCUUGCUGAAUCAGAGCCAAUCUGACUACCGUGGGACCAGGCCCUUAAAACCAAAAGGAAAAAUAAAUUUCUGUCCAGAAAAUUAAGAAAAAAUAAUGGUUUAAUAAACAUAAAGGAGUUCAUUAAUAAAUUGACUUUCCUAUUCUAAUCUGAGUUUACUAAGUAAUACCAUAGUAACAAAACAUAGAUGAAAUGCACAUGCAAUGCUUUCCCAAACAUAUCCAGCUAAGCCUUCUUCACGCGUAUCAAAUAAAAACUGUCCAUGUAGUGAAUGUCAUAAUACAAAAAUCAUUUUGAUUCCGUACUGAGAUGCUCUCAAGCGAUUAAAUUACAGUUCAUUAAUAGGGCAAUGAAGAUUCAUACUUUGUUAAGAAUCCUGUAGGUGAUGUGGUAAUUAUCUUAUCUUACUCUUGGAGUGCUUGAUUAUUUUUUCCUUUGGAUGCUUUCUACAGAUAGGCAUGUGCUUGCUCUCGCUCAUUUUAGCUAUUAAACUUUAGAAAAGUAACAAUAAUUCCUAUAUAAAUAGACCAUAGGUCAGGCUGUGGCUGUUACUAUAAGAAAAGGAUCUUACAGUCAUGAGGACAAUAGCAAUUAAAUGAAAGAUGAGCGAAACUAAAGAGCACACAGAAUUGCAAGAAAGGAGAGUUUGGGGAAAAAGAAAAGGACAAGUCGAUGUUCAUGUUCUGCUCAAUUUAACUCUGAGGACCUUGUCUAAAUUAAGGAUUUUGGCACCAGUGGAGGCACCCUGAUGUAAAUCUGCAGCAUGAAAUCUUGCUCCAUUGAAGUCAAUGAUAAAACUCCCAUUUGCUCCAACAGAGAGUGAUAAACUUAGAAGUGGAGGAUAAGAAGGGCUGGAAGACCCAAAACUAAGUGGAUGGAUGUAAUACAAAAGGAUUUGAUUAGCCAUGGAGUUUCCAAGGAACUGUUUCAAGACAGACUGGAAUGUUGAAGGACUCAAAGAGCCAACCUGGGAUGGGACUGGACUAAGGCUAGAAGAAGAAGAUAAGCUAUCAGUAGUACAUAUAAAAUAUUUAAUGUUAAGGAUUAGUCAAUAGACAAAGAUCUGAAGUUGUGGUCAGUCAAAACACAAAUACUGUAUGUAAAAGGUGACUGUACAGACACUGUAAAAAUUAUGUCCUGCAACAUUGUUUAAUAACUUAUGAUUAGUUCAGAGUAUUAACGCUUCUAAUGACACGGAGGUAUGCAGACACGGAAAAUGUAAAAUCAUUCAAUAUAUAAAUGGUAAUAUGUUAAAUUGUUACAAAUGUAUUGGCUUCAUUGAACUAAAUUUACCAGUAACCUGUGUGUCAAUGUUUACCUCGACUUUUAUAUACAAAAGAGCAAUACAGUUUUUCUUUACACGCUCAUAGCUUGUAUCUCAGUGUCCCUAAUACCACUGAGGGACUGAAGAGUGUUUAGUCUAAUGUGUUUUGUGAAUUCUCUGAUACAACCUCAUGUAUACAGACCAUCUUGCCAAGGAAGCUCCCACGGACCGGUACAUCUUCCGCAUUAACUGGAAUCUGAGCAGAAUCUCCUGAUCCAGAUCAGCAGCCACCGGUUUGAAGAGUAAGUUAAUGUUACGUGGCCAAGUAGAUACAACUUUACGGGGGGUUUUCAGAGAGCACCUCCAUUCAGUAUGACACGUUAUAGAUUCAGACGACCUUCUGGGCCAAUAUAUCUCCUUU